GACGAACGCUGGCGGCGUGCCUAAUACAUGCGAGUUGAGCGCUGAAGGUUGGUACUUGUACCAACUGGAUGAGCAGCGAACGGGUGAGUAACGCGUGGGGAAUCUGCCUUUGAGCGGGGGACAACAUUUGGAAACGAAUGCUAAUACCGCAUAAAAACUUUAAACACAAGUUUUAAGUUUGAAAGAUGCAAUUGCAUCACUCAAAGAUGGUCCCGCGUUGUAUUAGCUAGUUGGUGAGGUAAAGGCUCACCAAGGCGAUGAUACAUAGCCGACCUGAGAGGGUGAUAGGCCACAUUGGGACUGAGACACGGCCCAAACUCCUGCGGGAGGCAGCAGUAGGGAAUCUUCGGCAAUGGACGAAAGUCUGACCGAGCAACGCCGCGUGAGUGAAGAAGGUUUUCGGAUCGUAAAACUCUGUUGGUAGAGAAGAACGUUGGUGAGAGUGGAAAGCUCAUCAAGUGACGGUAACUACCCAGAAAGGGACGGCUAACUACGUG
rnacentral:rRNA from 1 species